rnacentral:lncRNA from 1 species
AGUUGGCUGCCUCUGGGGUUAGAGCUUGUUGCACAGAGCAACCUCCUGUUCUCAUCUUAUACUACUAGUUCUACUCUCUCAACUUUUUUGUAUAUAUAUCAAGAAGGAUGAGGUUUUGCUUGUGUUUGGGCUGAAUUAGGUAGUAAUCAUGGAAAGAGAAGUGAGAAAGAGAGCACGAUAUCGAGUAAGGUGAUUGGGAUCAUGGAGUAUGAAGAUUUUGUGGUAGUAUAUAGUAACAAGAGAGAGGAAGAUGAUGAGAAGCGGGAGAGCAGGAAGUGGGGAGGGAGGGGAAAGGGAAAUAUAUGGGAUUUGAGUUAAGGUGCUUUACUUGAGGGAGAGGGCGAAAAAGAUGGAAGGGGUUUUUGAGGGUCCAAAGUCGAUUGUGU